rnacentral:snoRNA from 1 species
UUGCGAAUAUUCUCGCUGUCCUUAUAGUCCAGUGAUCAGGGCAGGCUAGACAUUCGCUAUAUUAAAACUAUGCAGUGUGUCCCCAGGACUAGCUUGUUUCCCCUAGUUCUGGUUCUAUAACUGCUAGUGACAGAA